GCAUGACUGCAGAGGGACACUCAGGCUUACCCCUGUGAAUGUCAAAGCACUCACGCUUUGCGCAGUCCGCUCGCCUGAAGAGAAUAAUGGUGACAAGCGGCGCGCGCUGACCCCGCUGACGGCUAAACGCCACUGCACAGCGGCAUCCGGUGCUAACCCGUAGCGAAGAGUAGCAUCAAGGAACACAUUAAUCAGCAAGUACCCAUGUUAGCUCAUAGCGUAGCUUAGCAUCCGGUGUUAGCUCAUGGCGUAGAGUAGCAUCAAUGGCCAUAUUUAUCUACAAGUACCCGUGUUAGCUAACAGUGUAGCACCAAUUAGCCCCAUUAAUCAAUAAGUGACGGUGCUAGCUCAUAGCAUAGCGUAGCAUCAAUGGACACAUUUAUCAACAAGUACCCUUAUUAGCUAAUAGCGUUGCAUCACGACCACAUUUAUCACCAAAUAUCGGUGCUAGCUCAUAGCAUGGCAGAGCAUCAACAACCACAUUUAUCAAGCACCAGUUACUUAGUGUAAUCUAUAGUGUGCAGGCUUGCCUUAUGCCUGCCAAGUUCUUCCCCAA